CAGUCGCCACGGUAAAACGUAGGGUGCAAGCGUUAUCCGGAAUUAUUGGGCGUAAAGAGCUCGUAGGCGGUUUGUCGCGUCUGCUGUGAAAACUGGAGGUUCAACCUCCAGCCUGCAGUGGGUACGGGCAGACUAGAGUGCGGUAGGGGAGAUUGGAAUUCCUGGUGUAGCGGUGGAAUGCGCAGAUAUCAGGAGGAACACCGAUGGCGAAGGCAGAUCUCUGGGCCGUAACUGACGCUGAGGAGCGAAAGCAUGGGGAGCGAACAGGAUUAGAUACCCCAGUAGUCCCUGUCUCUUAUAC
rnacentral:rRNA from 1 species